AUGGCAGUUUUUAAGAUGGAGGACUCCCCAGAUCAAUACGAUGGCAAGCUACUGACUACACAUUUUUUGGUUUUCUUUAUUUUUUUCACAACAUUAUUACAUGCCUUAGGUAGAGAAUCAGGCAAAAAAACCUGCAAACUAGAUCAGCACGGAAUUUAUUCAGAACCCGUCCUAUUCAGAAUUAUGCAAUCUCACACAUUUUUUAAUGUUAAACGAUCCUGGAACCUAUCCUGUGCAGAAUCAGGCAAUCCCACCCAUUCAAUCCAAAGUCGCCUUAAACUAUAUACACUUUUGAAACCGCCUAACCCAUCCAACCAACUCGCACCACAACCGAUGCUAGGUCACCUAACCCACCAAUUUUUCUCGCCUACAACAACACACACCCUACAAAAUCGGCUAAGCCGACCAUCCAACUAG
rnacentral:rRNA from 1 species